UCUUCUUUCCACCUCCCUCCCUUAUCCUCUUCCUCCCUUCACCCCGAUCCCCUCCACAUCUCUCUCUCUCUCUUUCUCCCAGCGAGAGAAAUCCCCCUCCAUGAGAUUUAGCACCGGCUGCUGCUACUUGGAGCCAGCCAUGGCCACUCACCGAACCCCCUCACCUCUCCCAUCCUUGUUGUUUUUGCUACAAAAAAGAGCGAAAGGAGUUCCCAUGGCGGCUGCGCCACGUCGACAGUGGGCUGCAUCGACGGGAUUCAACGGCAAUUGCAUCGAGCAGCUCCUGCGGUGCUACACCCAGCGUUUUUGCGGUGGUGAAGGGCGGAAACUAGCGACAAGGGCGGGGACCGGCAAGACCGGAGCGCCUGGUGCAGGCCAUGGCGGCAGCGCUGUGUUCCCACGAGAAUGGAGGAACCGAGAUCGAAAGCGGAGCGCGAGGAAGGAGGAACCGAGAUCGAAAGCGGAGCGCGAUGCACUUUUUUUUUCUAUUGCGAGACCCAGAUCGAACGGGUGAAAUAUGCUGAAUCGGACGCUCGCGCGUUGACCGGCUCAGCUGUUUGGCCGGUGCGCCAGCGCCUAUCAGCGCCCAAAAUGUAUUGGCUUCUCCUCCUUCGUUCGAUUAAUUUUAUAAGCUGACUAAUGGAAAUGAUUUUUUUGUAUCUGUAACUGAAAUAACAUUUAUUUGAUAAAGGGCAUAUUUCAUUAA